GUGACGAUAGCAAGGGAUAAAGUAUUUGGUAAAAAAAAAGAAACCAUAAAUGAUACUGCGUCAUUCUCUUCAUCAGAGAGGAUGAGUGGAAGCUAGAGGUUUCACUCUCGCCAAAAUAUGUAAAAAAAGAACCGCAAUGCAUUUCUAUGGGCUUAUUUUGGACCUGAACUUGUCGCCUGCCUUCUCGCCUUCGGGACAACUAUUACCAUUGUUAGGGACCUGAGCCCUAGGACCAUGCCUCAAGACUACCUGGCCUGAUGAUUUCUUGCUGUCCCCAGUCCACCUUGCCGUAGUGCUGCUCCAGUUUCAACUGUUCUGCCUGCAGCUAUGGAACCCUGACUUGUUCACCGGACGUGCUACCUGUCCCUGACCUGCUGUUUUCAACUCUCUAGAGACAGCAGUAGCGGUAGAGAUACUCUUAAUGAUCGGCUAUGAAAAGCCAACUGACAUUUACUCCUGAGGUGCUGACCUGUUGCACCCUUGACAACCACUGUGAUUAUUAUUAUUUGACCCUGCUGGUCAUCUAUGAACAUUUGAACAUCUUGGCCAUGUUCUGUUAUAAUCUCCACCCGGCCCAGCCAGAAAGAGGACUGGCCACCCCUCAUAGCCUGGUUCCUCUCUAGGUUUCUUUCUAGGUUCUGGCCUUUCUAGGGAGUUUUUCCUAGCCACCGUGCUUCUACACCUGCAUUGCUUGCUGUUUGGGUUUUAGGCUGGUUUUCUGUACAGCACUUUGAGAUAUCAGCUGAAGUAAGAAGGGCUUUAUGAAUACAUUUGAUUUUGAUUUGAAGUGCACACACACGCACCCACACACAGACACACGUACUCACACACACCUCCUUGCCCAUUCUUCUACCCCCACUGCCUGUCUCAGGAACAUUCUUUUAAGUAAAUUCACAGCUAAAGCAGAACUAGGCAGCAACGUUCUGGGAGGGUUUUAUCAUUAACAGGGGGCCUGCCUGGUCCCUGGGCUGUGAUGUUGUGUAAGUCCUUCGCUCUGCUUACACACUCCAACAGAGGAGCAUAAGGGCCAAAACAAGCAGGUGUUUGCUGAUCCUGUGGCCCUCUGGUCCCCCCACCAGGGAUCCCUGGCCAUUUUAGAUGUACUUUAUUAGUUAGGGAGUGUGUGUGUGUGGGAGUGAUCCCAGCUCUGGCAACACGCGCCUCUGCAGUACAGGGCUGGCCUGAUGGGGCUUGCAGCUGUGUGUUUAAUAGCUAUGUAUUGCUGUUGUUCUAUCUUUCUCUUUCACAGUCUCUCUCUCUCUCUCUACAUCAUGUAUUUAGCAGCAUACAAGACAUUUUUAGACUCACCUUGUUGUGCUGUGCUCACUUGAACAGGAAGGUGGUGCGACAGUCCUUCUUGCCAGCAAAUUUUGUCAUCGAACUUUGUCAUCAAAGUCUGGCAUUUUCUGGAUUUAUGGUGCUUUCAAGACAACUUGGAACUCUGAAUCAUGAUGUCAGUGAUCUUCAGGUCAGAGCUCUAGAAAGAGGCCAGAGUUCCCGAUUUGAAUUCCAAGUUGGAUGACCGUUCAAAAUGUAUUUUCCCAGUUUCUGAGUUCCCAGUUGUCUUGAACUUGGCAGAAGUCAUGCUGGAUUGACAGCAUGGCCAAAGUAUUUAACCUUUUCUGGUCCAUGGUGUUGCAUGUGAAUAUUUAUCUUUUUGUGCAAAGCUGUCAUCAAAGUAAAGGGAGGUUACCUUGAAGAAUUUCAAAUCUAAAAUAUAUUUUGAUCUGUUUAACACUUUUUUGAUUACUACAUGAUUCCAUAUGUGUUAUUUCAUCGUUUUGAUGUCUUCACUAUUAUUCUACAAUGUAGAAAAUAGUCAAAAUAAAGAAAAACCAAACUUUCACCACUGCAGCUCCUAUUCUCUGGGAAGUAUAUCAGUCUGCAGUGUUCUCCUUCCCUCUUCUUCACUCCCAUCUCCAAUAAGAUAGUACAGGUGAAAGCAACCUGGUGGAGGCAUUAGUGUCUGGGGAUUGAUUUAAACUGUCCAUUGGUGAAUUUCCCAAAAACACAAAUGUUUUCUUUAGCACUAAGAUCAUCUUAGUGGUAGGCAAUGGACAAAUAAUGACCUUCAUGCUAAAGAUGAUCUUUAUGUUUUUUUGGGGAAACUGAGCCCAGUUCCUUUAGUCCAGUUCUGAAGGAAAGAAAGGAAUGAAGACAAUGAUGGGGGUGGCAGGUAGCCUAGUGGUUAGAGCGUUGGGCCGGUAACCGAAAGGUUGCUAGAUUGAAUCCCUGACCUGACAAGGUGAAAAUCUGUCGUUCUGAACAAGGCAGCUAACUCACUGUUCCUAGGCCAUCAUUGUAAAUUUAGAAUUUGUUCUUAAUUGAUUUGCCCAGUUAAACAAAAAAUAAAGACUAUUGAUAUGCUUCCA